UCGAUCCUGACAGGCCCAGCCGCCAAGACACAGUCCACGUGACACAAGUCCCCUGUCCCAGGGAGCAGAGGGGAAAAGGAGGGCUCUUCUCCUUCUACAUCUGCACCAUAAGAUCAGAUCAAUAAUUCCUCUGUGUCCAGCUCACCACUGUUUACACAGUCUCCCUUUCUUAAUCUAUAACCUACUGCUCCAGCCUGUCUGAGCUUCACCCUUCAGGCCCUCACAACUCACCCAACUGCCAGAAAGAGGGCCCAGGACAGUUGGGUUCCGAGUUCCCUGACUCCAAGCAGUGUUCAGUGAGCUCUGGUUAGUGGCUCAGUAGGAAGCACAGGGUUGUAGAUGGGUCAUAGACUGGUGGGAACAUACACUUCUCUGCUUUAAGUUCAUGAUUUAUUUAGCUAAAAACACAGAGCAUGUAAGGUGGCUGUUCAGUAGCAGUAGAUGCAACCUGUUUUUCUGUGGCUUUUCCUUCGCCCUUGGGUUUCCAACUAAGAGCACAGCAAAGUGAACUCAGGGAAUAUUUACCUCCAUUAGACACUCUUGGUUGUUGAGCCAAACUCAGCAUUAUCAAGAAUUCCUCCUCACCUAGACAAAAUGGGGAAAUGCAAGAGUCAAAAACACAAAUAAUGAAUUUCAGGAGAGUCAAGGCAUUUCUUGCAAGAUACAUGGCGAUGUUCUUCUAUGUCAGAUUAAAAU